GACGAACGCUGGCGGCGUGCUUAACACAUGCAAGUCGAACGGAAAGGCCCUGCUUGCAGGGUACUCGAGUGGCGAACGGGUGAGUAACACGUGGGUGAUCUGCCCUGCACUUCGGGAUAAGCUUGGGAAACUGGGUCUAAUACCGGAUAGGAGCCAUCUUUAGUGUGGUGGUUGGAAAGUUUUUUCGGUGUAGGAUGAGCUCGCGGCCUAUCAGCUUGUUGGUGGGGUAAUGGCCUACCAUGGCGGCGACGGGUAGCCGGCCUGAGAGGGUGUACGGCCACAGUGGGACUGAGAUACGGCCCAGACUCCUACGGGAGGCAGCAGGGGGGAAUAUUGCACAAUGGGCGCAAGCCUGAUGCAGCGACGCCGCGUGGGGGAUGAAGGCCUUCGGGUUGUAAACUCCUUUCGCUAGGGACGAAGCUUUUUUGUGACGGUACCUAGAUAAGAAGCACCGGCUAACUACGUG
rnacentral:rRNA from 1 species